rnacentral:rRNA from 1 species
GAUGAACGCUGGCGGCGUGCCUAAUACAUGCGAGUCGAGCGAACAGACGAGGAGCUUGCUCCUCUGACGUUAGCGGCGGACGGGUGAGUAACACGUGGAUAACCUACCUAUAAGACUGGGAUAACUUCGGGAAACCGGAGCUAAUACCGGAUAAUAUAUUGAACCGCAUGGUUCAAUAGUGAAAGACGGUUUUGCUGUCACUUAUAGAUGGAUCCGCGCCGCAUUAGCUAGUUGGUAAGGUAACGGCUUACCAAGGCGACGAUGCGUAGCCGACCUGAGAGGGUGAUCGGCCACACUGGAACUGAGACACGGUCCAGACUCCUACGGGAGGCAGCAGUAGGGAAUCUUCCGCAAUGGGCGAAAGCCUGACGGAGCAACGCCGCGUGAGUGAUGAAGGUCUUCGGAUCGUAAAACUCUGUUAUUGGGGAAGAACAAAUGUGUAAGUAACUAUGCACGUCUUGACGGUACCUAAUCAGAAAGCCACGGCUAACUACGUG